UAACCUGCCUCUUAGCGGGGGAUAACUAUUGGAAACGAUAGCUAAUACCGCAUAAAAGUCGACAUUGCAUGAUGUUGACUUGAAAGGUGCAAAUGCAUCACUAAGAGAUGGACCUGCGUUGUAUUAGCUGGUUGGUGAGGUAACGGCUCACCAAGGCGACGAUACAUAGCCGACCUGAGAGGGUGAUCGGCCACACUGGGACUGAGACACGGCCCAG
rnacentral:rRNA from 1 species